rnacentral:sRNA from 1 species
CGGCACCGGCCUCUUCCAGACCAUCUGCGCCUUCAAGAUCCGCGAGGCGUUCGAGGCCCUCACGGCCUAAGCGCGAGUUCGCGCAUUCUCGGGCGCGAGCGAGGCUGGGUCGAGCUCGCUCCCCGCGUCUCCCCCCCGGGGC